rnacentral:rRNA from 1 species
UACGGAGGGUGCAAGCGUUAUCCGGAUUUACUGGGUUUAAAGGGUGUGUAGGCGGGCUUUUAAGUCAGUGGUGAAAUCUCCGGGCUCAACCUGGAAACUGCCAUUGAUACUAUUAGUCUUGAAUUUUGUUGAGGUAGGCGGAAUAAGUCAUGUAGCGGUGAAAUGCAUAGAUAUGACUUAGAACACCAAUUGCGAAGGCAGCUUGCUAAACAAAUAUUGACGCUGAGGCACGAAAGCGUGGGGAUCAAGCAGG